rnacentral:precursor_RNA from 15 species
AAAUCCCUUGGUCUCCUCCAGGUGCCCCACUGUGUAGAGGGGAGUGAGGGUACCACGCACUAUCGGGUAACCUUUUCUACUCUCACAGUGGAGCAUCUUGGACUCCUCUCCUGGAUCCA